GAUGAACGCUGGCGGCGUGCCUAAUACACGCAAGUCGAGCGAACAGAUGAGGAGCUUGCUCCUCUGACGUUAGCGGCGGACGGGUGAGUAACACGUGGAUAACCUACCUAUAAGACUGGGAUAACUUCGGGAAACCGGAGCUAAUACCGGAUAAUAUAUUGAACCGCAUGGUUCAAUAGUGAAAGACGGUUUUGCUGUCACUUAUAGAUGGAUCCGCGCCGCAUUAGCUAGUUGGUAAGGUAACGGCUUACCAAGGCGACGAUGCGUAGCCGACCUGAGAGGGUGAUCGGCCACACUGGAACUGAGACACGGUCCAGACUCCUACGGGAGGCAGCAGUAGGGAAUCUUCCGCAAUGGGCGAAAGCUUGACGGAGCAACGCCGCGUGAGUGAUGAAGGUCUUCGGAUCGUAAAACUCUGUUAUUAGGGAAGAACAAAUGUGUAAGUAACUAUGCACGUCUUGACGGUACCUAAUCAGAAAGCCACGGCUAACUACGUG
rnacentral:rRNA from 1 species